UACGGAGGAUGCGAGCGUUAUCCGGAUUUAUUGGGUUUAAAGGGUGCGCAGGCGGAGGUGCAAGUCAGCGGUCAAAUUGCGGGGCUCAACCCCGUACUGCCGUUGAAACUGCAUCCCUUGAGUGCGCGAGAAGUAUGCGGAAUGCGUGGUGUAGCGGUGAAAUGCAUAGAUAUCACGCAGAACUCCGAUUGCGAAGGCAGCAUACCGGCGCGCAACUGACGCUCAGGCACGAAAGCGUGGGUAUCGAACAGG
rnacentral:rRNA from 1 species